rnacentral:lncRNA from 1 species
GCAGAAUGUAGUUUCUCUCCUAUAAAUAAAAAUGUAGAUCGGGUUUGAGAGCAGAAGGAAGACACUGUCCCUGCAUUUUAAUACCUGAAGCCUUAUUUACCAUAACAAAGCUUCAACAGAGUAGAGCUGGAAAGACCUGCAAGAUGAAUUCACCCAAGAUCCUAAUUUUCAAGGUGAAGAUGCUACGCCUGCUCAAGGUCAGCCCCACGCACAAGGCCUCCUGGCCCAGCGAGAUAUCAGCCACACCACAGGGUCAUGUUUCCAGAUGUCCUAUUUUAGGUAAAAGAAAACAAGAACACACCACUUCCCUUUGGUCUUUACGGAUUCCCCAGUGCAUUUCCAUGCGGUAUUAUUUCCGUAGGUCCUUUACAAGGUGGAGAUGUCACGACCCAGGCUUUUCCGUCAGCCAGGAAAGUCAAGUUCAGGUGUGCAAGAUCACCUGUUCAGGAAAUGACGAACUGCACGUAAGGCUCCUCUCCCAGGGCUCACCCUGUACAGAAAAUGUCUGCAAUUUCUGCAGCGGGAGAAGAAGACAAGCGCUGUGUCACGGACACAUCCAACAAGGCAUCCCACCACGCACAUCCCAACAAGGCAAUUCAGCAAGAUUUCUGGGUCCGAAAAAAAAAAGAUGGACAGAAACCUAAAUGAAAGGACGAUCCACGGCCCUGGAAAGAUGACAGGCAUCGGAGGAGCUUGGCGAGAGGUGGAGUUCACGGUACACGGUUCCAGAUUUUCCUUCUUUCGUUACCAGUUUCUAGGAACAUGGAAAAGGAGUGUUUCCAUAUUUUUCAAUCACUGUUGAGAGGGAGUCUUUUAUUACCCAUUCAGUGAAUUUGUUGAGCAUGUAUUUUGUUUUAUGAACUAAUCGGAAACAAGAUGAGCUUAGAUUCUAGUGGAGCGGCAGGUGCUAGUAAAUAAGGAAAAACAAAAGUGAAGGAAAUACAUCAGCCGAUUUGAUUGACACUGACAAGGAGAUUGGAAGGGCUUCUCUCUGGAAUAACAACGAAAGUGAACCUGAAGUGUGAGAAGCAGCCUCGGGGAGCGCUGAGACCAGAACCUUCUAAGUAGAGGGCUCAGAAGGUAAAGACCUCGAGGCAGAAACACUGAGUGAGCCGGAAGAACACCAAGACGCCAGUGUGGCCAGCGCGUGACGAGGAGGCAGCAAGGGUUCAAAACGAAUUUGGAAAGAUGGGCGGGGCUGUGAUCAUGAAGAGACACCUUCAGGACACAGACUUUAUCUCAGAUCUAACGAGAAAGGACUGGAACAGGGCAGGAGGGCUGGUGGAUCAAAGGAGAAGCGAGAUCUGCUUUAGAGGGAGGAUACUUUAUGUUCCCAGGUGGCUGUGUUGAGGUUGGAUUGUGGAGUGGAUGUGGCCAGCCGAGGAACCACGUAGGAGGCUCCCCGUUCAUGUGGGAGACGAGAGGCGCUCAGCACAAGGCCGGUGCAGGGUUUAUGGAGAGACGUCUGUGCCGGGGGACUUACUCUGAAGAUGAGAGAGAGGAGAAACGGGGAUGGCACAGGACAUUUCAGCGUAAGCUAAGAGGACGAGGACUGUGGUUCCAGGUUGAGAGAGGGAACACUGGAGAUGGAGCCGACUGGAGGUGGAAGGCGGGAGUCCAGAGCGCCCUUUCAAACGUGUUAAAGUUGCUUAACCACUGACAAGGCAGGAGACAGACUUAAUAUAGGACUCUGGAGCAUGGGGUGCGUCUAGGGUCAGAAAUAAAAUCUGGGAGUCAAACA